GUAAUCCCCGCAGUUUGGGAGGCCAAGGCAGAAGGAUCACUUGUGUCCAGGAGACCAGCCUAGGCAAUAUAAAGAGACUCUGUCUCUAUAAAAAGAAAAAAUAAAGUCUAUCAAUUCAAAAAAAUAACAGGCUACUUGAAUAGAUGAGACUGGCUCACACGUAACAGAGGACAUGCAAUAAGGCAGUAGGUAAGCAGGUCUGCAGUGACAUGGUUCAGGAUCCCAGGUGCAAUUAUUUCUUCCACUUCCUGUGAUUCCUCACAUUUUAAAUUUUAAGGCAGUGAACUUCACAGCAAUAAGGACCAACUAAGAAUAAGCCUAUGAAAUUGGCUUGCACACCAUCAGCACUGUAUCUAUCUAAAUAAAGUCAUAAAUAAAUAAAUGUGUUCUUUUUAAUCCUAACCUUGGAGAAAUUGAGAAGAGAAAAUGAAACACACAUGAGACAGGUGAUAAGGAGAACACACCUGCCAGUUUGAGAAGAGCCCUCAGCAGCAUCGGCCAUUUGGCAGUGGUGGCAAAUGGAGUGAGCAGAGACUAAAUAUCUGCAUUCCACUGGUGGCCAUGAUAGUAAUAGAAAAUGCGUAAGGCGAAAGUGUUCUCACAGGACCAUACAGGGAAGUGAAUCAUCCUGGAUCACACAUGUCUGAGAUCCUGAGCUUCACACCUUGGGUCAGAUGUGUGUUGUCAGCUGAGAAACUGAGCUGCAUUCUUGAGCAUGAGCCAGACGCCUUGACAGAUGGUUAUUCUUUUCUGCUUGACCUCGAGUUACAGAGAUGCAGAUGAAGUCAAAGAGGAUACCAGAUGCAGCCAGUCUGCUGGGGAGGCACGUACGUCUGAGUGGGCCCAGCACAGCUGUUCUCCAGGGCAAGGCUUGGCCAUGGCAGCUGCCCCAGCGCCCGCAUUCAGCCCAACCCACCAGGUCACCCCAGUCCAGUCCGUGGUGCUCAGAUCCCCAAGCAAUCACAGGUCAGAGGCGGAAAGAACUACGUGAAUGUGUACAGUGAUAUUGGGCACAUGCUCUGAAGGAAGGGAAACCGAAGAACGUCAAGGGGCAGCGUUCAGAGGAGGGGAAAGAAUGCAGAGUCUGGGUGUGAUCCCUACCUGGACUCUCUUAGAAGCUCCACUAUCCUCUUCUCUAAUGAUCUGUCUUCCCAUUCCAGAAUUUCUUACCUUAACCUACUUAGCCUGAGUUAAAUAAGCAUCUGCAUGCAGAAAUAAAUAAGUGAGGGAAUUUGUACUUUUCUGCAAUUAGCGUGCAUUAUUUUUAAAACAAUAAAUGACGGAUAUAGGCCCACCUAUACGAAGUUAUGCCUUCUACUGGAGUCCAUAGAGAACUUCAGUCAGAUCUGCUUUCUCCCACCAGGUAACCCACAUUCUCCACUUGGAAAGAAGGGCAGAAGAAAGCAGGGAGAUUAAGGACAUGACCAGUGAUGGGGGACUUUGAGGACUGGCUGCACGUUUCUCCUGGAGAAGGGAUGGGGUGGAGGGUAACUUACAAGCGGAGGGGGCGAGAGAAAGGGAAGGAAAUAAUACUGGUGUGUGCAUGCUUUUGGGUCUAGUUAACUAGAUUCUCCCAAUUUCUCUUCCAUCAAUCUUUACAGUAUUUGCUAUGUAUUUGCACUACUCACCUCCAUCCUGCUGACUUUAUCAUUUUCUCACGCUGAAUCACGAUUUGUAAAUUGAGGAAGGAAGCACGGAUAAGUAGGGAUGGUGCCACACUACCUCUCAGGCUGGGCGCUAGAGGGCAGAAGCUUCUAGGAAAUCUUCACAGGCAGACCUUCACUUCUAAAAAUGCCCAAGGAUCUACAACACUGGUGAACCUGGAGAACAUUAUCUUAAGUGAAAUAAGCCAGACCCAGAAAGACAAAUACUGCAUAUCUCACUCGUGUGGAAUCUAAAUAAACGUCGAGCUCACCAUAACACGGAGUAGUAGUAUGGUGGUUACCAUGGACUGGGGGAUGUUGGUUACAGGGUACAAAACUUCAGUUAUAAGGUGAAUAAGGUCUGGAAACCUACUUUACAGCACGGUGACUAUAGUUAAUAAUAAUGUGUUGUGGAGUACUGUGGCAUGCCUCUGUAAUCCCCACUACUCAGGAGGCUGAGGUAGAGGAUUGCUUGAGCCCAGGAGUUUGAAACCAGCCUGGCCAAUGUAGUGACAUCCUAUCUCUUUAAAAAAGGGGAAAAAAAUGUAUACGUGAAAUUUGCUAAGAAAAUAGAUCUUAAGCAUUCACACCACACACAAACAAACAUGACAGAUAUGUGACUAGUUUGAUUGUGAUAAUCACUUCACAAUGUACACAUAUAUCAAAACAUCACAUUGUACACCUUAAAUGUGUACAAUUUUUUUGUUUUUUGAGACAAAGUCUCACUCUGUUGCCAGGCUGGAGUGCAGUGGCACAAUCUCAGCUCACUGCUAUCUUGACCUCCUGGGUUCAAGCGAUUCUCCUGACUCAGCCUCCCAAGUAACAGGGACUACAGGCACACACCACCACGCCCAACU
rnacentral:lncRNA from 10 species